UACGUAGGGGCAAGCGUUAUCCGGAUUUACUGGGUGUAAAGGGAGCGUAGACGGUAUGGUAAGUCAGAUGUGAAAGCCCGGGGCUCAACCCCGGGACUGCAUUUGAAACUAUCAAACUGGAGUGCAGGAGAGGUAAGUGGAAUUCCUAGUGUAGCGGUGAAAUGCGUAGAUAUUAGGAGGAACACCAGUGGCGAAGGCGACUUACUGGACUGUAACUGACGUUGAGGCUCGAAAGCGUGGGGAGCAAACAGGAUUAGAUACCCUGGUAGUCCCUGAG
rnacentral:rRNA from 1 species